GUAGGUACUGAGGUUGGAUUUACCAUUUGCUAUUAAAAAAUCAUGAAGUAUAAUCAGUGGAGCUAUCUCAAUCUUGUUUUGAUAUAACUAAAACACAGAACUAUGGUUACCCUUGUGUUUUGAAUAGUAGAAAUGCUUUUGAAUUUAUAUUGCGAAAUGUUCUUGAGAUACACAAGUCCAGAUUAAAUUAUUUGUUUGUUGAAGACUGUUGAAACCUAAUUCCUUUGAACUCAUAUAUCUGGUGGACCCUCUGGUAGGUGUACUUUCUGGUUGCUUUAGUUAUCUACUAAUUUUUUGGUUUUGGUAUCAUUUCAUGCAUUGAAAUUAGUUUGCUUUGCAAAGUAUUAGUAUUAAGUCCUUCUGAGUUCUGAACUUGGGACAAACAGUGUACUUGAUGUAAAGUCCUUUUGUUGUAAAUAAAUUUACGUCUCUUUGAAUGGUAGUUGUUGCGCAAUGUUAUCUUUUGCUCAGUAUCCACUUUAGAGCCCAAUUUGGUAUGACUUUAAAGAGUUGUAUAUUAGUGUCUCUGUAUUUCCAUAUCUGAUGACUUCAUUAUUACAUAGAGAAGUGAAGUCUGCUGAAGGAAAAGGGAAGGGUCUGCCACAGUCACUUCGUGCAUUUGCUCGGGUUCUAUGUUGCACAUCUCAUCAAGAUAUAAGUGAUUUGGUCAUCGAAGCUGCACAAAAUGAUGGCCGUUUGGCUAGGCGCCCUUUUAAAAGUAGGAGCAGAGAGAUCCAGGCACAUGAGAUCUUGUUGUCGCAUCUCACUCAACUCAUUGAGGAAUAUGAUACCUCUGUUAAGGUGACUUGUGUAGUUUCUCCUCAUUGUUUUAACUUAUAUUUUUGUUUAAAUUUAGUUUUAUUGUUAGAUACCUUAGUAUGGACAUGCAUGGUGGGUUAAGGUUUUGUUGGCUCAGCACAAACUCCAAUUGGUUACUUCAUGCAACUCAAAAAGAUAUCCAAUCAACUUUCAAGACAGAUAUUGCCCAAUUUUAAUAGAAAAUAUGGAGCAGAAUUUUGGUACAGGCUAAAGUUAGUAUUACGGUCGUCUCAACAUGCAUAUAUCAGAGUUCAACAAUAAUGGGAUACAAAAAAUGCAACUUGCAUCUUGUUGAGAUAUAUCUUGCAUGAAAUGUUGACAUUAUUUUUGGAACAAAUUAAAAUGGAAUUCAUUUCAUUUACAGAUGAGCUCAUGAGUUCCUGUGUUUAGAAUCUUAUCUGUUAAAUAUAAAUUUUAGAUGCAAAUUCUACCAACUCUAGUCUAACUAAUUUCAUAGAAUUAAAGAUAUAGAAUUCCAAAUUAAUUUUUGUGAAUAUCAACUAUGUCAACAUGGAUUUGUAAAUGACUUGCAUAAAAUUGUAAUGGAAUUCAUUACUAUUAAACAAGCUCUAAAAGAUAAUCAUGCUUUGAUACGGAAGCUUUUCGGUUGUUUUAAACCUUUGCUUGUACUGUACAGUCGUUGGGGCAUGCUGAUUCUCCCAACACGUGUAAAAGAUUUGCUCUUCAAAGGCAAAUGGCUCUAGAUCUCCUCACUGGUGAGCUUCGUAUCCUUAAAUCUGCUUCGGCAUGGUUGAAGAAUUAUUGUGCAUCCUUGUUACAGCAUGCCGACAUGAAUGAUGCUGCUAGUUAUGAUGGAAGUGUUCAAGAAUGAGCAAGCAAAUAAGAGGAGAAUUUACAUUUGCUAUCAGAUACUUUACAUGAAUCAAUUUAGAACUAGACAUGCGAAAAUCAGGGAAGACCGCAAAUUAUUCAGUUCUGCAUAGGCAUAGCGAUCCUGGAGAACCCAAUUACAAUCAAAGGCACUUGAUCAUCUUGAACAAUUUUGUGAAGCACAUGGAAGGAUUGUUAUUCUAUGUGACAAUGAUAUGUUGUAUGCAAUGUAGAAUUAAAAAUCUGAGAAUUUAUUGUAAAAAAUGUUCAGGUAAUGCAAUUUUCUUAGUGAAAACUUUAUGCCG
rnacentral:misc_RNA from 1 species